CCGGGGGCUCCCCACGGGACAUUGCGGUGCUGCAGCGUGUCCGGAGAAGGGCAACAAAGCUGGAAAAGGGCCUGGAGCACAAGUCCUCAGCUGCUACUGUGAUCAUGACUGCAGGCAAAGCUUGCCUGACAUCACAUCAAGGAAACAAGUUCCCUUUACUUCAAAAAGCCAAGAUUUCUCUGUAAUGCUGAAGGAGCAUUACUCUAACCUCCCUGCUCACUAGUCCCAGAACUGCUUCCACCGGGGACCAUCACUCAGCAAUGCAGCUUCCAGCAGGGACCAGCACUAGCCAUAGCUAACAAGCACUAGCACAGUGAUCAUUGAAGUUCUCACUCCAGCUGGGAGGACAGCCAGGCACCUUCAAGAACAAGGGAAUGAUUGACAAUAUUAGGCAGAAAAUUGUCUACCAGAUGCUGCUCAAAAGGAGAGGUGGCAACCUUCCGACCCCCUUCUCAGUACGCGAAAUCAUCGCUUCUGUGACACGCCUCUGCCCCACUUGUCAGCUGAGUGGGGAGCACAGGGUCACUUCUGCGUCUGGCUGUUGUGCAGUAAAAUGCCACCCUGCAGACAAGGCUGUGCCUUCUGCCUGAAGGAGGUCUCAGUGCCAGCCAUGCUUUGGAAUGAAGUGGAAAAAUUCACCAGACAUUACACAUUACUUUUCAGUUACCGCUCUGAAAUACUGACUAGGUCUGAAUAACCUUACUGGUACAGAAACAAAAGGAAUUCCUUGGACUGUGAGAGAAUAAACUCCAACCAGACCUGCAUGGCUUUUUAAAAAACCCUCCCCAGAGAUCUUCCCGUUGCCAUUAGUGCUUUAACACAAUUUACACAAUUUAUGUCUCUUAAAAGGUUUUGUUCCCUCCCUGAAAAAAGAGGUCAGCUCACUAGAGUUUCAUGCUAGUGCUGAUACAAUGACCAUGGUUCCCCUUUUUACAAAUUAACUAGAAGGAGAAAAACAAAGGGAUGAACUUGAAAAAAGUAAGACUAACGUUUUCCUACUUAACUAGCUGACUCAACAUGAAACAAACAAACAAAAAAACCCACACCCAAAAAACCCCCCCAAAACCCCACAGAAAUAGAAAACACUUUUUUUUCAACAAAAGCAGUGCAGGACAAAAAAACGCAAAGAGUCUACUCUGAGGGCAGACACACAGGACACAUAGGCCUCUGAAAUGCAAAUGUUCGAGUACAAAAUAUAAAUAACCAUAUAUGCAUAUUUGGGGUUUCUUUACACACACACACACAGAAAAAGCUGAGGGAGUUUCUAUGUUGUUUGUGCUAAUUCACGUAGGGUAACAGCAAUGUGUGUGAAUAACAAUCCCUGAAAUGACACCAAAAUUAAAGGGAGGAUAUAGGAAAUGAAAGAUGAUAAUUGAAAUGCUAUUUUAAGCAAGUGUAUUCAUUAAUUGUCUUAAUUCAGGUGGAACUUCACCUGCAAAUUAGAUUAAAUAUAUACUAAGAAAACUGCAAGACUGG